rnacentral:rRNA from 1 species
UACGGAGGGUGCAAGCGUUAUCCGGAUUCACUGGGUUUAAAGGGUGCGUAGGUGGGCUGGUAAGUCAGUGGUGAAAUCUCCAGGCUUAACUUGGAAACUGCCAUUGAUACUAUCAGUCUUGAAUACCGUGGAGGUCAGCGGAAUAUGUCAUGUAGCGGUGAAAUACUUAGAUAUGACAUAGAACACCAAUUGCGAAGGCAGCUGGCUACACGAAUAUUGACACUGAUGCACGAAAGCGUGGGGAUCAAACAGG